rfam:Macaca mulatta chromosome 1, whole genome shotgun sequence.
AGCUUUGUGAAGUGGCAGUAUCAUGGCCAGUGAGGUUUAUCCAAGGCAUGAUUAUUGCUAACUGAG